rnacentral:rRNA from 1 species
CCUACGGGAGGCAGCAGUGGGGAAUCUUGCGCAAUGGGCGAAAGCCUGACGCAGCGACGCCGUGUGCGCGAUGAAGGUUUUCGGAUCGUAAAGCACUGUCGCCGGGGAAAAAGAAAGUGAUGGUACCGGGAGAGGAAGCACCGGCUAACUCUGUGCCAGCAGCCGCGGUAAU